CAGUCGCCGCGGUAAUACGAGGGGUGCAAGCGUUAUUCGGAUUGAUUGGGUGUAAAGGGUGUGCAGACGGCUUAUUAAGUCACUUGUUAAAUUCUUCGGCCUAACUGAAGGUCUGCAAGUGAUACUGAUGAGCUAGAGGGUGGAAGAGAGAAGUGGAAUUCUCGGAGUAGCGGUAAAAUGCGUAGAUCUCGAGAGGAACACCAAUGGCGAAGGCAGCUUCUUGGUCCAUUCCUGACGUUCAUACACGAAAGCGUGGGGAGCAAACAGGAUUAGAUACCCGCGUAGUCCCUGUCUCUUAUAC
rnacentral:rRNA from 1 species